rnacentral:rRNA from 1 species
AACGAACGCUGGCGGCAGGCUUAACACAUGCAAGUCGAACGGUCUCUUCGGAGGCAGUGGCAGACGGGUGAGUAACGCGUGGGAACAUACCUUUCGGUACGGAACAACAGUUGGAAACGACUGCUAAUACCGUAUACGCCCUGAGGGGGAAAGGAUUUAUCGCCGAGAGAUUGGCCCGCGUUGGAUUAGCUAGUUGGUGGGGUAAUGGCCUACCAAGGCGACGAUCCAUAGCUGGUCUGAGAGGAUGAUCAGCCACACUGGGACUGAGACACGGCCCAGACUCCUACGGGAGGCAGCAGUGGGGAAUAUUGGACAAUGGGCGCAAGCCUGAUCCAGCCAUGCCGCGUGAGUGAUGAAGGCCUUAGGGUUGUAAAGCUCUUUCGCCGGUGAAGAUAAUGACGGU